AGUGAACGCUGGCGGUAGGCCUAACACAUGCAAGUCGAACGGCAGCACAGUAAGAGCUUGCUCUUACGGGUGGCGAGUGGCGGACGGGUGAGGAAUACAUCGGAAUCUACUUUUUCGUGGGGGAUAACGUAGGGAAACUUACGCUAAUACCGCAUACGACCUACGGGUGAAAGCAGGGGAUCUUCGGACCUUGCGCGAUUGAAUGAGCCGAUGUCGGAUUAGCUAGUUGGCGGGGUAAAGGCCCACCAAGGCGACGAUCCGUAGCUGGUCUGAGAGGAUGAUCACCCACACUGGAACUUAGACACGGUCCAGACGCCUACGGUAGGCAGCAGUGGGGAAUAUUGGACAAUAGGCGCAAGCCUGAUCCAGCCAUACCGCGUGGGUGAAGAAGGCCUUCGGGUUGUAAAGCCCUUUUGUUGGGAAAGAAAAGCAUCAGGUUAAUACCCCGCUGUUCUGACGGUACCCAAAGAAUAAGCACCGGCUAACUUCGUG
rnacentral:rRNA from 1 species